AUCAUACUCCCUCCGCCCCGAAUUACUUGUCGCAUAAAUGGGUAAAAAUGGAUGUAUCUAGAACUAAAAUACGUCAAGAUACAUCCAUUUCGCGACAAGUAAUUCCGGACGGAGGGAGUAUUAU
rfam:Triticum urartu cultivar G1812 contig603998, whole genome shotgun sequence.